GGGGUGUGCUCAGAGCAAGGGGCCUAAAGAAAGGCUCCUCUGUUUACAACACACCUCACAGGAAUUUGGGGUCAUUGUAAAGAGGGGCACAAAACUUGUGGCCUCCCUGUGAACAAAUGCCCUACAUGA